UACGUAGGAUGCAAGCGUUUGUCCGGAUUUACUGGGCGUAAAGCGCGCGCAGGCGGCAUACCAAGUAUUCAGUGAAAUCUCCCUGCUCAACGGGGGAGGGUGCUGAGUAGACUGGUAAGCUAGGGUACGGUAGAGGGAAGCGGAAUUUCCGGUGUAGCGGUGAAAUGCGUAGAUAUCGGAAGGAACAUCAGUGGCGAAAAGCGGCUCCUGGACCAGUACCGACGUCAGGCACGAAAGCGUGGGGAGCAAACAGG
rnacentral:rRNA from 1 species